rnacentral:rRNA from 1 species
UAGUAACUGCGAGUGAAGCGGGAAAAGCUCAAAUUUAAAAUCUGGCAGCAUUUAGCUGUCCGAAUUGUGACCUCGAGAAGUGAUGCCCGCGCUGGACCAUGCACAAGUCUCCUGGGAUGGAGCNUCGNAGANGGUGAGAAUCCCGUCCNUGGCAUGGAUCGCCAGCGCAGUGUGGUUCGCUCUCAAAGAGUUGAGUUGUUUGGGAAUGCAGCUCGAAAUGGGUGGUAAAUUCCAUCUAAAGCUAAAUACGGGCGAAAGACCGAUAGCGAACAAGUACCGUGAGGGAAAGAUGAAAAGAACUUUGGAAAGAGAGUUAAACAGUACGUGAAAUUGUUGAAAGGGAAACGCUUGAAGUCAGUCGCGUUGUUCGGGGAUCAGUCUGGGUAAAUUUACCCGGAUGCAUUUCCUGUUGCAACGGGUCAUCAUGAGUUUUGACCACUGGAGAAAGGCAUGGGGAAUGUGACACCCUNNGGGGUGUGUUAUAGCUCCGGGUCGCAUGCAGUGGUUGGGACUGAGGGUCGCAGCGCGCCGCAAGGGCAGGGUUUCGACGACUUUCGCGCUUUGGAUGAUGGCAAAAUGGCUUCAAGCGACCCGUCUUGAAACACGGACCAAGGAGUCCAACAUGCAUGCGAGUGUUUGGGUGGAAAACCCGUGCGCGCAAUGAAAGUGAAAGUUGAGAACCCCGAAUGGGGGGCAUCGACGCCCGGACCAGAACUAAUUGGGACGGAUCCGCGGUGGAGCAUGCAUGGUGGGACCCGAAAGAUGGUGAACUAUGCCUGAAGAGGGNGAAGCCAGAGGAAACUCUGGUGGAGGCUCGCAGCGAUUCUGACGUGCAAAUCGAUCGUCGAAUUUGGGCAUAGGGGCG